rnacentral:lncRNA from 1 species
AUCACUUAACUCUCUUUAGAUGUUUCACGCAGGUAUCUCAAGGUCAUACUAAACUAAAUGUCAUUUUUAGUAAUGAUACGUUUUUUGAGAUGUCGCCAUGCACCUGGAGUGAAGAUUUCUUCUAUAUCACUGAGUCUGAGUGUCAUUAUAAUUUGUCAAUUGUCAUCAUUGUCAGUAUGCCUUUAUCUUUUAUCUUUAUGUCAUUAAAAAUGUUUAUCUGAUUGUUAGCUAUAAUAAAAAAUCCUGAUUUAGAUAAAAUGGAUUCAAAUACAGUUUUUGAAACAAAACGAAUGUGAUUUGAAGAUCCCUAGGAAGAUCAAAUUCCUAGCUUACAUUUGCAUGGUGAGUUCAACAAGUACUUGUUAUUAGAGGACAAGUAACACUAACACAGUUAGUGGUGUAGGGAAGCAAACGAAUGUAACACCAAGACCAAUUGAAAGUCCUCAACAAGUAGAGAUGCACACAUGUUUCAAUCAUUUGAGAUACCCUUUUGUAGAAGUAUUUGGAAGAUAACUAUUAAUAAUUUCAUUUGUAAAGAUACGAUUUGUAAAAAAGUAUAUACAAAGUGGUUUUGCUGGUAUUAAAUAAAUAAAUAAAAU